rnacentral:misc_RNA from 1 species
AACGCACAUUGCGCCCCCUAGCACUCUAGAGGGCAUGCCUGUCCGAGCGUCAUUUCAACCCUCAAGCGCUGUUUCGCUUGUUGUUGGGGCUCUUUGCGGCGAGCACUCCGGUGCUCUGCAAGCCCUGAAAUCCAGCGGCGGGCCAGCCGGCACACCGAGCGCAGUAAUUUCUUCUCGCUCAGGUCGCUGCGGGCGCGGCACAGCCGAUCUCGAAAAGCUUUCCAAAAGUUGACCUCGGAUCAGGUAGGACUACCCGCUGAACUUAA